rnacentral:misc_RNA from 1 species
UUUUUUUUUUUUUUUUCAAGAACAUGGGCAGACUUUUCAUUAAACCAGAAGCAAUAAACAAUUGUACAAUGAGUUCAAGCUUUCUUUGUCACCCUUCUCCUCGACAUUAAACAUAUCACCACCUCAAAUUUACUCACAGAACCGCGCUUUAGAUAUCCUCUUACCCAUUUGUUUCUGCACCCUACCUGUUCUGUUGCACGCAGUCCUCCAGGAUAACCAAAAUGGGAUUUUCCUUUUUCUGCAACAGUUGCGCCUUUCCCCCCAUUGUUUUCUAAUCAGAUCGCAAACCAAAAAUAUUGAAGGUGACUAUGCAAAGGAAUCAAUGUCUAACUUCAUAUUCCACCUCUUCAAUCACCACCUCUAUCUAUGGUUUGCGUCGCACACCAACUGCUAACCAAAUCAAAUACCAUUGAGAGUCUCCAACUAUCUAGCCAGAUAGUGCACGUGUCAUCAUUUUUGGCGAGACAAGCACUGGCUCAUUACUUGUAGCCUUCACUGCAGCCAUCUCCUCUAAGCGUUUCCAUGUGGUUUCGCGUUUCACCUUCAUCUCCUUCUCCCUUGUUUCAUCUUCCUGAAACUUCAGCAGGCACUCCUCAAAGAGCUCCAGGUCAAUAUCAGAGAAGAUCUUGCGAACAUUUAGCGUCAAGCUUUGUACUGCCUGAUUCCAAUGCUGUCUUGCAUUUCUCUCCAAGGCAGGGAAGAUGAUUGGUAGUAUAACUUUGCGAUUCUGUUGGAUCAAGUUCUCAAUGUGAUCAUUGUUCCAUAAAAACAAAGCCCUCUCUGCCACCUGAAAAUGUGAACUACUCAAGCAACGGCCAAUCUGGCGGAACAAGGGUACCAUGCAGCGCUGAAACUCAGCAGGCUGUGUUGCUUCUAAUACUUCCUCCAGCUCACCUAAGAACAUAACCUCUUUUGAACUAUUUGUAAUUGGCCAAUAUUUUAGCAUCCCUCGUAUAACUGUAUCAGCAAGUUUGCAGUCCUUCUCCACAAAUUGUGUAAUGCAAUAUGAUAAUUGUUGGUGGUACAUGGGCAAGCAUUUUGGUUUGUGUAAUGGAAUGAGUACUCGAACAAGGAAAAGCUUGUGCUCUUCUUUCAGAGGUAGGGCAAACCCAUUGAUUAUACUUCCCAGAAUCUCCAGUAGCUCUGCAAUCCCAUUAUGCUUCUCAGUUUCAAAAAUAAACCGAUAAAAGAUGUUGUUAAUUGCUUUCCU